AGACGACGAGGUAGAUAGGUUGGAGGUGGAAGUGCAGCAAUGCAUGGAGCUGACCAAUACUAAUCGGUCGAGGGCUUAUCCACAA
rnacentral:rRNA from 1 species